AUUGAACGCUGGCGGAAUGCUUUACACAUGCAAGUCGAACGGCAGCACGGACUUCGGUCUGGUGGCGAGUGGCGAACGGGUGAGUAAUGUAUCGGAACGUGCCCAGUCGUGGGGGAUAACGUAGUGAAAAUUACGCUAAUACCGCAUCCGAUCUAUGGAUGAAAGCGGGGGAUCGCAAGACCUCGCGCGAUUGGAGCGGCCGAUAUCAGAUUAGGUAGUUGGUGGGGUAAAGGCCCACCAAGCCAACGAUCUGUAGCUGGUCUGAGAGGACGACCAGCCACACUGGAACUGAGACACGGUCCAGACUCCUACGGGAGGCAGCAGUGGGGAUUUUGGACAAUGGGCGAAAGCCUGAUCCAGCCAUUCCGCGUGCAGGAUGAAGGCCCUCGGGUUGUAAACUGCUUUUGUACAGAACGAAAAGGUUUCUACUAAUACUAGGAGCUCAUGACGGUACUGUAAGAAUAAGCACCGGCUAACUACGUGCCAGCAGCCGCAGUAA
rnacentral:rRNA from 1 species